rnacentral:lncRNA from 1 species
AUGAUAUAUGGUAAAGGGCCCAGCUUUGGGGACAGACAGUCCUGGGUCAAAUCUUGGCCCCUACCUCAUAUUAUAGACUAUUACACUACAAUACACUAUAUUAUACUAUACUAUGCUGUACUACACUAUACUAUACUAUACUAUACCACACUGUACUGUACUAUACCAUACUAUACUACACUAUACUAUACUGUACUAUACCAUGCUGUACUGCACUAUUCUACACUAUACUGCACUAUACUGUGCUAUACUAUACUGUACUACACUAUAAUAUAUUGUACUAUACCAUAUGGUACUGCCCUAUACUAUGCUGUACUAUACUAUACUAUACUAUGCUGUACUACACCAUACUGUACUGUACUAUACCAUACUGUAUACACUAUACUAUACUGUACUAUGCCAUACUCUACUGCACUAUACUACACUAUACUGCACUACACUAUACUAUACUAUUCUGUACCACACUAUACUAUACCAUACUGUGCUACACUAUACUAUACUAUGCUGUACUACACUAUACUGUACUGUACUAUACCAUACUGUACUGCACUAUACUACCCUAUACUGCACUAUACUGUGCUAUACUAUACUGUACUACACUAUGCUAUACUAUGCUGUACCACACUAUAUUAUACUAUACUAUACCAUACUGUACUAUACUAUACUACACUAUACCAUGCUGUGCUGCACUACGCUAUACUGUACAUCACUAUGCUAUACUACACUGUACUAUACUAUAUUAUACUGUACUACACCAUACUGUACUACAUUAUACUGUACUGUCCUAUCUACACUGUAGCACACUAUACUGUCCUGUACUACACUAUACUGUACUACAUUACACUAUACUUCACUAUGCUGCACUACUAUACUACACCAUACUGUACUACACUAUAUUAUACUCUAUUGCUAGCACAGUGCUUAGCACUUAAUAAGUACCUAACAAAUGGUAGUUACUACCAUUAUUUAACAAGCAACUCACUUGUCCGCCUGGCAAAACUCCCCUGCGACUCUGCCUCUCUGAUCUCCCGGCUCCACUCAGACUUUCACUCUGCCCCACACCCACUGUGCCUCACACAAACCCCCCGGAGCAACGAUGGUAGUUUUUUGAUUGUCUGCUGGCUCCUUGCUGGGAGGGACCGUAUCCUGUCACCUCUUUGUCCCGACGGCAGUGCCUGGUUGAGAGGAACACUCCCUAACUGCUGGAAGAAGGAAGAAUGUUGCGUAUGGGCGUCUUCGCGCCCCAGGACCUCCCUUGCCAUCCUUAUUGCGGGCCCAGGACUCCCUGCAAUGAGGGCCGCAUCUUUUCUGUGGCUGAGUACUGAUCCCCACGCGUUCUUGGCGCAAAGGCAACUACGGGAGGCAACUGUCUCCCAGGUGACCUCCUUCUACUUUCAGGGACUGCUCCUUCUCCCUGGUGGAGAUUUCUGGCACACGAUCAUGGCCAUACUUACCCCCUUCAUGCAUUUACGGGCUUAUGUCUACACUCCCUGGGUCUUCAUCAUUCCAGAUGCAAAGACCUAA